GCAAUAAUAAAAUUGUUUUACUGAAUUAUAUUUUAAAAUAAUUUAAAUUUUGAAUUUGAAUAAAUAUUUAAAAUUUAAAAUUUAAAAUUUUAAUUUGAACUAAAAUGUAAAAUUUAAUAUUUGAAUUUAAGAAUCUAAAUUUAAAAUUUAAAAUUUAAUAUUUAAUAUUUAAAUUUGAGGUAUAAAAACUAAAUUUUAAUUUUAAAUUUAAAAUUUUAAAUUUAAAAUUUAAAGUUUAAAAUUUAAAAUCUAAAUUUGAAUUCAACAUUAAAAUUAGAAUAUAAAAUUUGAGUGCAAAAUCAAAAAUUGAUUUCAAAAAGCAAAUUUUAGCUAAUUUUGAUUUUGUGCCUGUAAAAUCAGAAAACUGAUUCUAAACAUUAGAAUCAAAUUUUGAAAAAAAUAAAACUUCAAAUACCAUCGCAGUGGUUUUGCACUUUCUCACUUUAAUGCUCUAUGGUUUAAAGUGUAUCACUCUAUGAUUUUUUUUUUUAUUAUUAUUAUCUAUUCCACUAACUUUUUUGUUAAAUCGGUAACAAAAUUAAAACUAAAUAAUACUAAAGUGAAUAUUCGAUAAACCUAGAUAGGGUAUAUGAAACAUUUUGUAUAUAAUUUAACAAAAUAUUAACGAGAGAGCUGACGAAAAGAGAAAAAUAAAAUUACAGGCUACUAAACUUGAUACACUUUAAAUCAUAUGGUACUAAAGUGAAAAAGUACGAAACCACAUAAAUAGUAUUUAAAAUUUACCCAAAAAAAAUUACUAAAUAUUUUAUUAAAAAAAAUCACUUUUGACUCUAAAAUUACUUUUCAGAAUCUUAGAUCAAACGCCCACGUAAUCUAUGUGAAGCUUCUUCCACUCCUAUGCAGUUGGCAACGGCAAAAGUGAUACAACUCAAAAAGAGUCUUCAUAUCCAGAACUUUUUACCUUUUACUACCACACUACAAUAUCAUAUUAAAAAUUUAAAAGCCAUAUAUAUUUUUUUUUUUUUGAGAGAUAGGUAGCACGCUAUCCGCUUCGUUUAUUUUAUUUAAAUAUAAAUUUAGUUGGAAAUGUGAAUCAAUUAGAAUUCUAAUUUGGAUCUCGGAUACCAACCAUAAAACUUUUUACCACUUGCUCUAGAGACGGUCGAUAAAAAGCCAUACUUGAUAGAUAUGAUAACAGAAUAUGCACUCAAAAAAAAAAAAAAAAAAAAAAUCAAUCUCUCUCUCUCUCUCACUCUCUCUCUCUCUCUCAACCGCCUCAAAACGGUUCCCUUUCCCACCUUUUUUCUCUACUCUUUCCA
rnacentral:lncRNA from 1 species